GAAAUGCGAUAAGUAAUGUGAAUUGCAGAAUUCCGUGAAUCAUCGAAUCUUUGAACGCACAUUGCGCCCUCUGGCAUUCCGGGGGGCAUGCCUGUCCGAGCGUCAUUACGCACCCUCAAGCCCGGCUUGUGUGAUGGUCCCCGGCGUCUCGUGCGCGAGACGGGCCCGAAAGGCAGCGGCGGCGUCGACCCGAUGAGCCCGAGCGUAUGGGGACUUCUGUCACACGUUCGCGGUGCGGACCGGCGCCUGCUUGACUUUUCUGAUUAUCCAGGUUGACCUCGGAUCAGGUAGGGAUACCCGCUGAACUUAAGC
rnacentral:misc_RNA from 1 species